UGGGGAAUAUUGGGCAAUGGGCGCAAGCCUGACCCAGCAACGCCGCGUGAAGGAAGAAGGUCUUCGGAUUGUAAACUUUUGUCUUAUGGGACGAUAAUGACGGUACCAUAGGAGGAAGCCACGACUAACUACGUGCCAGCAGUCGCGGUAAUACGUAGGUGGCAAGCGUUAUCCGGAAUUAUUGGGUGUAAAGGGUGCGUAGGCGGGAUGUAAAGUCAGAUGUGAAAUACCGCAGCUUAACUGCGGAGCUGCAUUUGAAACUUACGUUCUUGAGUGAAGUAGAGGUAAGCGGAAUUCCUAGUGUAGCGGUGAAAUGCGUAGAUAUUAGGAGGAACACCGGUGGCGAAGGCGGCUUACUGGGCUUAAACUGACGCUGAGGCACGAAAGUGUGGGGAGCAAACAGG
rnacentral:rRNA from 1 species